ACACAACUUCAAGCUAAUGCCUCGGGCUUAUUUAACAGUAUUAUCAUGUGAAAGACACAGCUGUGGAGAGGCAAAGGAUAGUUUGUGAAUUUGAAACAUUUUGACAUUUCCAGUCAGGACUGAAUAUGCUGAUAAUUCGCAAAAGUCCUGAGCUGUGAAGCAAAAAGAAGGCUUUCAUCAAUCCUGGGGCUAGUCUACUUUCUGGAAUAUGUCCAUUGUAUAAUAUGAGGAAUGAGAAGGGUUAUAUUCUGCAGAAAGUUCUACAGCAUAAUAACAAAUGCAGUAACAGGUGUAUGGCUGUGGUGGAAGCUUGGUCAAAUUGAAACUGGAACAGGAAUAAACCUUUACUUCAUUUAUACUUUAGGUGACAAGGUAGCACAUUUGUACAUAAUAAGGCUGGCCUGGGGAUGGAGGGAGUCCCUGCCCUGACUGUGACUCAGUGAGACUCUUUGCCUGGUCCUAGUCCAAGAGAAACGCAUGCUAUGAUCUCACUGAAGUCUGAAGUGACUCUGAAACUUUGCAGUAAAAAGAAAAUUUCAUCCUUUAAGAUGGUGAGUUACCAGAGAAGUCACAAGGAUAAAAUGAAUGAUGGAGGUUUCUGGAAGAUGUUAUCACCACAUUCAUAGCAUCUAGCCUUUCGUAUACAUUGGGAUGGAAUGGGUAAGAGACAGGCUUGGGGCUCAGUCUCCUAACUGGUUAGUAACUAAAGAUGCCUUGGAGAGGAGAGUUGAGAGUCCAUAUUUUUCACAGAAAUUCUUUUUGAGCCACAUUGACAUUCCUAAAACACCGCACAUACUGAUGCUAUGAUUUCACGGUCAUUUGGUCUCUAAUACCCACAAACUUUGCCUGCCCCUAGCAUAGUUUUACAGCGUUUGUUUAAAAACAACACCCCAAACUAAAACCUUACCUGCAUAAACCAAGCAUAUCUGUGGUUUGGAAAACAGGCCAGGAGUCUAGAGUUCUAUUUCUAACUAUGCAGCUAACUUCCCAGGUGGACUGGAAGAAAUCCUUGAUUCCUUUGCUCCUUAGUUUCUUCAUAUUCAUCCAUCCUUCUGAAAGGUAUUCCUUAAGUACUGGGACCCUGUGGAUACAAAAAUAAAUAGAACCUAGCUCCUUUGUCAAGAUCCUUGGAAUUUAGGGGAAAAGACAAACAAUAAUUGAAGAUUGCAAUCCAGUGUGGUAAGUUUGUUGUUGGAAGUAGGCACUGAGUCCUAGGGGAGCACAGAGAAGGAAUGUCAAAUCAAGCUUGGAGCUGGGGAGGUGAGUCAGGGACCACAUCAAAGGAGUAGUGAUGUCUUCCUGCAAAGUUAAACUCUGUGAAAUGAGCAGGGCUUAUUAGUGGAUCCAGAAGAAUAUUUAAUCUAUAUUCCUAUGUUAAUUGAAGAGAUGGUAAUUUGAGGUCCCUAUAUAGGGAGAAGUUUUUCCAGAGCUGUAAGAAAGAAGCAAAGUACAAACAAAUUUGCCUAAUAUAUCCAUGGCUGCUUAUCCCCAGAGAGUGGUCUAGAUCUUAAGAUCUUUCUAAUAUGCUCCAAGAAGAAAAUAUUUGUUCUUGGGACAUUUCUGUCACUUAAUAUAUUUGCCUUUAGACAUUUGAAGGGUAUCUGGCUUUCAUAAGAAGUCACAGUCACCUGUGUCACUUUCCUCUCAACAGCCCCUUUCUUUGUACAUUUCCUUGUAAUGCACUAUGAACUCUAGGUUGAAUCAUUCAAGUGCUGUAAUAUUCACAUGAAAGCAACACCAAACUUUGUCUCCAUUUUUAGGUUCAUGUCAAAGCUAGUUUUUCACUAAAUAUCUCUGGUUACCAUUUGAUUUGAUUUUAAAAUAAUAUUUCACUUUUCUAAAAGUCGAUCUGUUCCACCAAGUCUUAACUCAUUGUAGAUACAGUUAUAAAAUCAUAAGCAGACAAAUAAUUCUCAUUUCUAGCACAUACGUUGCUUUCUUCCCAAUGUCCACUUUUCCUCUUCUUUUUCCCAAGAGAAUUUCAAUUUGAUCCAGGAUGGAUACUAGUUAGCCAAAGUCAACCUUGAGAAUUCUAUUCCUUUAUUCAGUGGUUGACUUAGGAAAGGGCAAUUCUGGUCUCUUUGGGGGAAGUCAGCUGGCAAGCCUCUGGAAAAGGUUUCCUUCUCCUAAAAGACACACAGAAGUUGAUGUUCUCUCUCCUUUUUUGGAACAUUGGUGCAUCUAGAGUGGCCCUGGAACCACGGCAGCCAUAUUGCCACCAGCUGGAAGACGAAGCCAACGGUGGGAGAAGACAGAGCUGGUCGAAUCCCCCAGGAGUAAAAUGCAGCCUGUAGUACCCUUCCUGGAUUGUAUCUUACUUGGAGUCUUCUUGUUCUGGGAGGCAAUAAAUUUCUUUGUUAUUUAAGCCAUGAUGAAUCAGCGUUUUCAAUUAUUUGCAGCCAAAAGCAUCCUAAGCAAUAGCCAAGUAUGCAUGGAAGUUCAUGCACUUCUCUCACAGAACAUUAUG
rnacentral:lncRNA from 1 species